rnacentral:rRNA from 1 species
UACGUAGGGUGCGAGCGUUAAUCGGAAUUACUGGGCGUAAAGCGUGCGUAGGCGGCCUUCUAAGUCGGACGUGAAAUCCCCAGGCUUAACUUGGGAACUGCGUCCGAUACUGGAGGGCUUGAGUGCGGGAGAGGGAUGUGGAAUUCCAGGUGUAGCGGUGAAAUGCGUAGAUAUCGGGAGGAACACCAGUGGCGAAGGCGGCGAUCUGGGAAGAUACUGACGCUGAGGUGCGAAAGCGUGGGGAGCAAACAGG